rnacentral:rRNA from 1 species
AGUGAACGCUGGCGGUAGGCCUAACACAUGCAAGUCGAACGGCAGCACAGUAAGAGCUUGCUCUUACGGGUGGCGAGUGGCGGACGGGUGAGGAAUACAUCGGAAUCUACUUUUUCGUGGGGGAUAACGUAGGGAAACUUACGCUAAUACCGCAUACGACCUACGGGUGAAAGCAGGGGAUCUUCGGACCUUGCGCGAUUGAAUGAGCCGAUGUCGGAUUAGCUAGUUGGCGGGGUAAAGGCCCACCAAGGCGACGAUCCGUAGCUGGUCUGAGAGGAUGAUCAGCCACACUGGAACUCAGACACGGUCCAGACUCCUACGGGAGGCAGCAGUGGGGAAUAUUGGACAAUGGGCGCAAGCCUGAUCCAGCCAUACCGCGUGGGUGAAGAAGGCCUUCGGGUUGUAAAGCCCUUUUGUUGGGAAAGAAAAGCAGCAGGUUAAUACCCCGCUGUUCUGACGGUACCCAAAGAAUAAGCACCGGCUAACUUCGUG